rnacentral:rRNA from 1 species
CCCGGCGACCGGCGCACGGUGAGUAACACGUAUGAAACCUGCCCGUAGCAGGGGGAUAAGCGGAAGAAAUUCCGUCUAAUACCGCGUAACAACCCAUGGAGGCAUCUCUGUGGGUUUAAAGGAAGCGAUUCCGGCUACGGAUGGUCAUGCGUCGCAUUAGCUUGUUGGCGGGGUAACGGCCCACCAAGGCGACGAUGCGUAGGGGUUCUGAGAGGAAGGUCCCCCACACUGGUACUGAGACACGGACCAGACUCCUACGGGAGGCAGCAG